rnacentral:rRNA from 1 species
GAUGAACGCUAGCGGCAGGCCUAACACAUGCAAGUCGAGGGGUAGAACACUUCGGUGUUUGAGACCGGCGCACGGGUGCGUAACGCGUAUGCAAUCUACCUUAUACAGGGGAAUAGCCCAGAGAAAUUUGGAUUAAUGCCCCAUAGUAUUAUUGAAUGGCAUCAUUUAAUAAUUAAAGUUCCAACGGUAUAAGAUGAGCAUGCGUCCCAUUAGUUAGUUGGUAAGGUAACGGCUUACCAAGACGAUGAUGGGUAGGGGUCCUGAGAGGGAGAUCCCCCACACUGGUACUGAGACACGGACCAGACUCCUACGGGAGGCAGCAGUGAGGAAUAUUGGUCAAUGGUCGCAAGACUGAACCAGCCAUGCCGCGUGCAGGAAGACGGUCCUACGGAUUGUAAACUGCUUUUAUACAGGAAGAAACCCUCCCACGUGUGGGAGCUUGACGGUACUGUAGGAAUAAGGAUCGGCUAACUCCGUGCCAGCAGCCGCCGUAAUAC